GAGAGGGUGAACGGCCACAUUGGGACUGAGACACGGCCCAGACUCCUACGGGAGGCAGCAGUGGGGAAUAUUGCACAAUGGGCGGAAACCCUGAUGCAGCGACGCCGCGUGAAGGAAGAAGUAUUUCGGUAUGUAAAGCUCUAUCAGCAGGGAAGAUAAUGACGGUACCUGACUAAGAAGCUCCGGCUAAAUACGUGCCAGC
rnacentral:rRNA from 1 species